rnacentral:rRNA from 1 species
ACGUUUGAGCGUGUCUCCCUUCUCGGGAAACCCUCUCAACCUCACGAACCCUUGACCUCAAAUCGGGUGAGACUACCCGCUGACCUUAAGCAUAUCAAUAA